CAACAUACAUGCUUCACUGUGUCAGCCUAUCCUUACCUGGCUAGAGGAAAAAGAAAUGGUACUUUCCCUCUAGAUUUAGAGUUUAUUUUCAGUCUUUCUAGUUGGGUAGAGUAAGUCUAGAAAGUAUCACUAAAGCAGUGCUUAUCUUCGUGUGUGCUAAUGGAGAAUAACAUUGGUGUCAUUACAAAGAGCAUUCUUCAUUUCCCCACAGGUCACUCAAGGACACUCAGGUUGGGGGGACUUUUGUCAAGAGGGAAGUUUGAUGAAGAGAAAUGUCUCUGAGAAUGUACAGCAGGAUUCACUGGCUUUCAUGAAAAAUGAAAAGGCUGCUGUCAGAGCUUUCAAAGAUGCAAUACAGAAUGUUAUUGAAGUCAAGUCCUUAAAGCUUUGGAAGAAAAUUAUUCUAAGGACACGUAAUGUAAUGAUUAUGAUUAUGAUACAAGUAAGUGAUGGUGUAAAGUAAUUAUCUGAAGUGGGCCAACAUGAAAAGAAGCCAAAAUAUUGACAAACCAAUAAAUCAUUUAAAAGAAAAAAAAAAAAAAACAGCCAAGAUGGAACUUGGGCCCAAAUGAGUGCCCAUUUCAAAUUUUCCAUCACUGCCUUCUGAAAAAGACUUUAUAGUUCCCCCUGAACUCUAGAAGACACCAGCUGACCCCAACAUAAAAACAUUAAGUGAACAACAACAACAAAGAGAGAGAGAGAGAGAAA